rnacentral:rRNA from 1 species
GAUGAACGCUAGCUACAGGCUUAACACAUGCAAGUCGAGGGGAAACGACAUCGAAAGCUUGCUUUUGAUGGGCGUCGACCGGCGCACGGGUGAGUAACGCGUAUCCAACCUGCCCAUCACUUGGGAAUAACCUUGCGAAAGUAAGACUAAUACCCAAUGACAUCCCACGAAGACAUCUGAAUGGGAUUAAAGAUUUAUCGGUGAUGGAUGGGGAUGCGUCUGAUUAGCUUGUUGGCGGGGUAACGGCCCACCAAGGCAACGAUCAGUAGGGGUUCUGAGAGGAAGGUCCCCCACAUUGGAACUGAGACACGGUCCAAACUCCUACGGGAGGCAGCAGUGAGGAAUAUUGGUCAAUGGGCGAGAGCCUGAACCAGCCAAGUAGCGUGCAGGAUGACGGCCCUAUGGGUUGUAAACUGCCUUUAUAAGGGAAUAAAGUGGGUCUCGUGAGACUUUUUGCAUGUACCUUAUGAAUAAGGACCGGCUAAUUCCGUG